rnacentral:rRNA from 1 species
AUUGAACGCUGGCGGCAGGCCUAACACAUGCAAGUCGAACGAGUGGCGGACGGGUGAGUAAUGUCUGGGAAACUGCCCGCUGGAGGGGGAUAACUACUGGAAACGGUAGCUAAUACCGCAUACCAUCGGAUGUGCCCAUAUGGGAUUAGCUAGUGGGUGGGGUAACGGUUCACAGAGGCGACGAUCCCUAGCUGGUCUGAGAGGAUGACCAGCCACACUGGAACUGAGACACGGUCCAGACUCCUACGGGAGGCAGCAGGGGGGAAUAUUGCACAAUGGGUGCAACCCGGAUGCAGCCAUGCCGCGUGUAUGAAGAAGGCCUUCGGGUUGUAAAGUACUUUCAGCGAGGAGGCGUUACUCGCAGAAGAAGCACCGGCUAACUCCGUGCCAGCAGCCGCGGUAAUAC